rnacentral:rRNA from 1 species
GCGUUGCUCGGAAUUAUUGGGCGUAAAGGGUAGGUAGGUGGUCUCAUUUGUCUGGGGUGAAAGCCUUGAGCUUAACUCGAGAAGUGCCCCAGAAACGGUGAGACUAGAGUCCUGGAGAGGGUCGUGGAAUUCCCGGUGUAGCGGUGAAAUGCGUAGAGAUCGGGAGGAACACCAGAGGCGAAGGCGGCGACCUGGACAGGCACUGACACUCAACUACGAAAGCGUGGGGAGCAAACAGG